rnacentral:rRNA from 1 species
CCUACGGGAGGCAGCAGUGGGGAAUAUUGCGCAAUGGGCGCAAGCCUGAUCCAGCAACGCCGCGUGAAGGAAGAAGGCUUUCGGGUUGUAAACUUCUUUUGACAGGGAAGAGUAGUAGCCGGUACCUGUCGACUAACCCACGGCUACCUCCGUGCCAGCAGCCGCGGUAAUACGUAGGUGGCAAGCGUUGUCCGGAUUUCUUGGGUGUAAAGGGCGUGUAGCCGGGUUGACAAGUCAGUUGUGAAACCCUGCGGCUUAACCGGAGAACUGCAUUUGAAACUGUUGAUCUUGAGUACUGGAGAGGCAGACGGAAUUCCGAGUGUAGCGGUGAAAUGCGUAGAUAUUAGGAGGAACACCAGUGGCGAAGGCGGUCUGCUGGACAGCAACUGACGGUGAGGCGCGAAAGCGUGGGGAGCAAACAGGAUUAGAUACCCUUGUAGUC